rnacentral:rRNA from 1 species
UACAGAGGUCCCAAGCGUUGUUCGGAUUCAUUGGGCGUAAAGGGUGCGUAGGCGGCGGGGCAAGUCAGGUGUGAAAUCCCGGGGCUCAACCUUGGAAUUGCACUUGAUACUGCCUUGCUUGAGUACUGGAGAGGGAACUGGAAUUUACGGUGUAGCAGUGAAAUGCGUAGAUAUCGUAAGGAAGACCAGUGGCGAAGGCGAGUUCCUGGACAGUUACUGACGCUGAGGCACGAAGGCUAGGGGAGCAAACGGG